rnacentral:lncRNA from 1 species
ACCUCUGCCACUGUAAGGAUACUCCAGCCCUGAGGAAGUGGAGUAGUUGUGUGAGGAAAAACCUAAGAGCUUUGACCUCCAGGGUCCCAGUGUGACAAGCAGCUCUCUUCACUGAGCUGACACUUGGAGGUGGGCCUCUCCCACUCUCAAAGAGUCCCAAUGACUGAGGCAGGAACCACAAGGGCAACAGGAGCAGUGGAAAAGAAUCAUCUGAGGAACAUUCCAGAACUAGCCUUCCACAGUGAUUCAGAGCUAUGGUGAAUGAGAAGCAACUGCAGGAGCAUACACAUCUAAUUUCCAGAUCUCUUUUUGCUGAGAGUUGUGAGCAGGUCUGACAGCCACCUUUCCUUCUGACCGAGAAGCCCUUGGACUUGUAGAAAAUUGGGCAGGUCCUCGAGAAGGAGACUCUGAAGCUCCAUAAGAGCCUACGGGUGUGAAAAUAAAAAAGAUGCUGGUGUUUGUACCUUGAGUUGGGGGAGUAGACUUUACUAAUUCAUUCUUCUAAAAACUUGGACCCAUUUAUACUCCCAUAAUGCCUAUUUCCCUGCAUCUUCGACAACAAGACAAGAACAGCUUCACCAAUUGAAGCCCUCAAGACAAACGAGCCCAGGAAAGAAAUCUCAUCAGAAAAAUAGAGGAAGUUUUCAUGGAGUUGUUAUGAGGUGGAAACUUUUAAUGAAUCCUGUUGUAUUGUUUACCAAGUUAAGAUCCUCUCAGAUGUCAGGAGAUAGAUGCGUAGAUGUCAGCUCAUAAAGUAGAGCUCCGUUGUGAGAGCAGAAAUACGAGAAGCUGGAAUCUCUCCAUGCUAAGAGCUAACGAAGGAGGCUGGAGAUAAGUUGGAAGAAACACUGGUUACCAAGUGGGAUAGCAAUUGUUUUUUGCUCAAUCAAAUAUUUAUGAGACUGGGAUUUGACUACCCGUGGCUUAACAAUUCAAGGGAAAGAUAAUUUUCUAGAGAAACCCAAAGUGUUGGAGUAAUUCAAGAUAACUAUACCUUGUAUGAAAAUA